rnacentral:antisense_RNA from 1 species
CUUGAUCGAACCCAGCAACAGCGGCUGCCCGUCGGCGCGGUCCUGGCCGUACGUCGCCAGCAGCGCCUGCGCCUC